AGAGAGAGACAUGCGCGCAUAUCAAUAAGCGGAGGAAAAGAAACUAACAAGGAUUCCCUCAGUAACGGCGAGUGAAGCGGGAAGAGCUCAAAUUUGAAAUCUUCAAGGUUCUACCUUGACGAAUUGUAGUUUAAAGAAGUGUUUUCUGUUGGAAGUUUUGGUAAAAGUUCUUUGGAAUAGGACAUCAUAGAGGGUGAGAAUCCCGUAUUUGACCAUUAUUUUCCAGCUUUGUGAUACACUUUCAAAGAGUCGGAUUGUUUGGGAAUGCAGUCCAAAAUGGGUGGUAAAUUUCAUCUAAAGCUAAAUAUUGGCGAGAGACCGAUAGCGAACAAGUACCGUGAGGGAAAGAUGAAAAGAACUUUGAAAAGAGAGUUAAACAGUACGUGAAAUUGUCAAAAGGGAAGCGUUUGACACCAGUGUUGUUUUCUCGAAAAUCAAUUAAAAAUGGCUCGAUUUUGUAUUGCUGAGACCUUAAAAGCUCACUGUACAUUUUUCGUGUCUUUUUUAAUGCACUUUUCGUUUAACAAGUCAACAUCAGUUUCUUUUGUUGUAAAAGGGUCAUUGGAAGGUGGCUUUCUUUUCGGAGAAAGUGUUUAUAGCCUUUGGCCUCUGCAAUCGGAAGAGACUGAGGUCUGCAGCGUAGACUCUUCGGGGUUAGAUACAUUUGUGCUAAGUUAUAGCCUUUUAUAGACAACUUGUUGACUAUGAUUAGUCAUUGUAGCUUACUCGCUUAUGCUAUUUUACCUACGCUUAGGAUGUUGAAGUCAUCGUAUCGCGC
rnacentral:rRNA from 1 species